AACACUCUCCCGUAUCAAUCAAUCAAAGAAAAGGAAGGAAAAGGAAAAUGAAAAUCACGCAACGCACACCGCACCUCUCCAUCCAGAAUCCCCAACCACCCACGCCUCGAUCCUCGCCGGCGAAUGCGACCCACCUCCGCGCCGUCAACAACCGGCCGUCGACCUCCACCCUCGCGUCCUUCAUUGCGCCCGGAGGCCAACUCCAUCUCCGCCCGCCGUCCUCUGGGGGUCCUUCACCGUCAGCGCCGCGCUCCGGGAAGACGUUCAUCACCUGGGCACGCCUCCAUCGGCGAGCUCCUGCCCUGCCCCGCCACGCCGCCCAUCCGGAGAACCAAGGCCGCUUCAGUUCACCCAGCCACCGCGCCACUAUCCUACUCACCGGACCCCUGCCGGCCGCCUCCACAAGCCGGUGAGGAGAAGCUUGGGACGGAUGGAUCGAUGGUGGUGCAGCUCGAGGCGGCGGCGAGGGGCGACGGCUUGCUCAGUUGCUCUACCUACCACUCGGACGAUGACGACGACGGGAACUGCAGAUACUGCUACGGCUUGCUGCUACCAAGGAUUAUCUUAAAGAGAAGCUGCAACCCUACAGAAGCAUCGUAGAAGAUAAGGUCUCCGCGGUAAUACAUGGUAUCUUUGGACCUCUGCACAACGUGAAGUUAAUUAGUUUUCAGACAUUGCCAAGGCUCUAAUGUCAUGUAUUUGCCUCACGCUGCCUUCUCUGAUGAUUUUUUGCUUUUUUGGGCUGGUCAUUCUCCGCAAGUUUUGCUGCACACAAGGUUGAUUUCUGUGUGAUGUGUUGCUGGUAUUGUUAGGUAUUCUAUUUGUCAAAAUUUUGACUUAUUUGCCCUCUCCUUGUGGUCUUCGAAGACUUUCGUCGGGUGUGAAUAUUGAGUGUGUUUGUGCCAGUGUUAGAUUUACUUUGGGAAUUGAAAAUCAGGAGAUAAUACGGUCCUCUUGUUUACCUUUCUUGCAGUAAAGGUGCUUGAGUUUAUUGUCUUUCCUUUGAAUUAUUCGUUGUUUCAUUUUUCUUAUCAAAUUGCGAACCAGCUUGGUUAGGUUUCUUCUUGUGGCCUGAAAUUUGAACUUAUGGAUAAUUUGAGGUUGUAUUAUUUGAUCUUAUGGUGAUUGAUGGCUAAAUUUAAAAGCUUUUUCUAUUUUUCCCCUCUGAUGAAUUUAAGUCCCUUGCCUAUUUUGGUUGAAUCUGUUCUUGAUUUGAGCUCGUUUCAUGCAAGUACUAUACCAUGGUUUUCACAAACAUUCGAAACUGAUUUGGGUUCAGACUUGUGUUCUGUCGGAGACUAAAAGGAGGUGAACUCGAUUUGUCUACUUCGUGAUAUGUAGUUUUAAAUUUAUUUUAUGUGAGAAUGCUACUAUUUAAUAUAAGUAUUUUAUGUACCGUAGUUUGAUCUAGUGAAACUAAAGAAGCCUUGACAAAGUUUUAAGGAGAAUGCUGGUACUUUUACUAUUGUGAAUGCUUCUAGUACAAGGUACCUACUUGUUGCAUAUGGUUUUUGGACCACCCAAUGGAUUCUGAAACAUGUGUUUUUAUUUCUUUCUUUCUUUGCCUGGUAUGCUUGUAUUUCAAUCCAAGAAAUGGAAAAUUUCUUCUCCCUUUCCAACUCAAAUUUGAUAAAUUCUUUCAUGUUUUUGGCUUUUCAAGCAAAUUCAAAUAUACAUCUCUAGAUGCAUAGCUUGAUUGGAAAUGUAAGUCUAUACAGAAUCAAAACAGGGAACAAAAAGGCUACAAUUUUAAGAAUGUUUAUUUAUGUAUAAUUCAUUGUUGAUGAAGAUAAGCUUAUCCUGGCUCUCUUGUACAUCAACUUUUUUACUGGUUUACUUUGUCCAUUGACUGGCAUUAUGUAAUGCGCUCUCCCAAUUUCCUGGUGUGUUUAUCUAUUCACUGAAAAGGUGACGCUUCUGCACUGGAUAACAUAUGUAUGUUUUGUGUGGGACAGUGAUUGUGUUGUUGCAUUAGUAUUGGUGAGUAGGAACAAGGCUCAAGUGGCUAAAUUACAUACUCUGAGAUUCGGUUCUGAGUUCUAGGAUGGGAUUUGAGGUUGUUUAUCUACAGCUAUGGAACUUUGAUUAGAUCAUAUAUUUGAACUGUUUGGUGGCAUGUCAACUAGGUGAACCAUUCCCAGGAAGUGAAGGUGAAGAGUAAAAACGUACUGCCUAUUUUUACGAUUUACGACCCGUGUGGCCUGUUUUAUACAGUACCAAGGUUAUACUAUCUUCGCUAUUUAUGGCUUGUGUUCGUCUACAUGGUCCUUCAUGGUGUAAUUAUGUCAAUCAAAUAUUUAGAUAACUAUUGAGCUUUGUUUAGGAUUAGUGUUGCUGAAAGAAUGAUCAUCAUUUAGGAUUGGACUUGAUGCAUCUAUUCAUUUAAGAUUGAUCAUCAUAUUCUUUACGCCAUAAUACGUAAGAUAGUUUUCUUAGUUCAUGCUGAUCAAUGUUCACAUUUGUACUCGUUGCUGUCUCCGUAUGAUUUUUGCAGAAGUAUAAUCCUGCCAUGUUCAAAUGUUUUGUUCAGUUCACUAUCUAGGCUAUGCAUGGCCUGUCGUACUGGAAUGCUUAAUUUGCAAGACAAAAUAUGCAAAAAUCUGGUUCUCAGUUAAAAUGCUGAUGAAACAAUAAAUGCUAUGCUUUGGUAGUUCCUUCAGUUUUCUAGCUAAGCUAGUCAUGUUGAAUGCUAUCUGCAGCAUGGUCAUGAAAGUCUUAAUCUUCCUAGACUUGAUAUUUAUAGAGUAUUGGCAAUGAAUCUCUACUACGAAAAGCCUUUACUAGUAGUUUCUUUGUUAACUCAGUCUGAAGGUUUAACUUUUACUACUUGUUUGGUGGAUCUUUACCAUCCACUAUUCCCAAGAAUUCAUUCCUAGUUAUGUAUGCCUCCUAUUCAAGCUCAUAGUAUUGUUACUUUUCCUGUUAACUUUCUAUUUAUCUUUCUUCUUUUUUUAUAAGGAUCGAGGAAGCAUUCAACAAUUAUAGUGCAAGAAUAAACAAUGUACAUAAAUGUUUACAGGGCCGUUUAGUAGAUCCACUGUAGUAGAACAACAAUUUUGGGUGCAAUGUCAACAAAGGUUUGUUUUCUGCCUGUAGAUCAUUUAUUUUAUGGUAGAAAGGAUGAUUAUGCAUGAUGUUAAGGUGCAUCCAUUUUAGUGAGUUUUAGAUAAGCUUGGUCAUUUUGAAGUUCCACAUGAUUUCCUCAUUUUCCAAAUUUGAGUACUUGCAUCACAGAUAGUUCAACUCUAUUUUGGGGCAUUGAUUAUGCGUGUAAGCAAAAGUGUAACAUCUUUACCAGUAUAACCCAAUUAGCCAUGAUGUCUUAUUUGGCAUGAUCUCUUUUAUUUUAUGGUUCAUUUUUCUGCUAUUUCACCAAUCAUAGCACCUUCAUCUUGGUUCACAUAAUGAGUUGUCGAAUUGGGCUCCCAAAUCCAGAGUUCCAUUGUUUGUACGAAGUCCCAAUUUCAGUCCUUUGUCAACUCUUGUCCAAACUGUACCUUCUUAUGGUUCACUACUAACUGAUUUAGUGCAAAGGGUGUUUUUUUGACUGACUUUCAUUUGCUACCUCCUCAUCGCUGCAUGCGAUUGCCAUUUACGAGCUGCUGCUGUACUAGCCACAGCCGGCCCUUGGCUUCGACUACCCGGCCUUGGUCCGCGACGCAACCGCGGUGGUGAUGCUCUGCCUCGGCUACAAGCUAUUCAGGUGGUGGCGAAUGGACAAACGAGACGCCGACGGAGCCUUGUUCUUGGACCUGCGUUGGUAGAUAGCCGGUUGGGACUGACACGACGCCGGAGGAGCAGUGGUGCAUGGAGCGGUCGACGAACAAGUAGAGAGAAGGAAUGGAGAGUUGUGCACGUGGCUGCCCUGAAGUAGCGGCGACAACAGCAAUGAGGGAGAAACAGAGGUGGCCUGGAGGAAGGGAGAUAGACUAGAUGUGUCCGGCUGGACAAGGGAGAUGCUGGCCGAUAUUCCACUGCUAGCAUUCUGUUUCAGGCACCCGUCGCGGCCAAGAUUUUGUACCAAUGUUGCUGUGUAUUGUAGUUUCUCUGAUAACGCGUCAUACUACUAUAUCAAACCGAACCGGAACCAACCAAGGCGACCAAAAUCUAUCUUUUCCAUUAAUUUACAUUCUCUAAGGUUGAGUUAGCAUUAAA